AUGGGAGCUAUGAGUAGUGCAGGCAUGUUGGAUUCAAGGGAUGCUGGGAUCUAUUCUCUCAUCACCUUUGUACCGUCCACGUUUUUGCACUCAGGUCCUGUGCAGGUAUCUUCAAAUAAAGAUGUAAGUACAGCAAAAAUAAUAGCCUUGGAUAUAGAUACAUACUUGUUUUCGUACAAAAAGACAGACAGUCUGAAGGAUAAUAAGGAUCUUUCUUCUCUCUCUUUCCUCCAGGCUGAUUCAGAGAAUGCAGGGAUCUACAGCCUGAUCACUUCUGUAUCAUCCACAUCUGUACCACCAGGUUUGUCUAUUUAACUCUGUCCCAAUGUUUCAUAACAUGUAU
rnacentral:lncRNA from 1 species